GACGAACGCUGGCGGCGUGCUUAACACAUGCAAGUCGAACGGAACUCUUUGGAUCAAGGCUUCGGCCAAGUGAAUUUGAGUUUAGUGGCGGACGGGUGAGUAACGCGUGAGGAACCUGCCUUUCAGAGGGGGACAACAGUUGGAAACGACUGCUAAUACCGCAUAACGCAUAUUGAUCGCAUGGUCGAUAUGCCAAAGAUUUAUCGCUGAAAGAUGGCCUCGCGUCUGAUUAGCUAGAUGGCGGGGUAACGGCCCACCAUGGCGACGAUCAGUAGCCGGUCUGAGAGGAUGAACGGCCACAUUGGGACUGAGAUACGGCCCAGACUCCUACGGGAGGCAGCAGUGGGGAAUAUUGGGCAAUGGGGGAAACCCUGACCCAGCAACGCCGCGUGAAGGAAGAAGGCCUUCGGGUUGUAAACGUUCUUUUACCUAGGGACGAAGGACGUGACGGUACCUGGAGAAAAAGCAACGGCUAACUACGUG
rnacentral:rRNA from 1 species